rnacentral:rRNA from 1 species
CGGCGCGCAAUUACCCACUCCCGGCACGGGGAGGUAGUGACGAAAAAUAACGAUACGGGACUCAUCCGAGGCCCCGUAAUCGGAAUGAGUACACUUUAAAUCCUUUAACAAGGAUCAAUUGGAGGGCAAGUCUGGUGCCAGCAGCCGCGGUAAUUCCAGCUCCAAUAGCGUAUAUUAAAGUUGUUGCGGUUAAAAAGCUCGUAGUCGAAUUUGUGUCUCAUGCCGCUGGUUCAUCGUUCGCGGUGUAAACUGGCGUGACAUGGGACGUCCUGCCGGUGGGCUUAGCUCCUUCGGGGGCGGCCCUAUCAAUCCUGCUUCGUUGCUCUUGAUUGAGUGUCGAGGUGGGCCGGCUCAUUUACUUUGAACAAAUUAAAGUGCUUAAAGCAGGCUAAAAUAUUGCCUGAAUAUGUGUGCAUGGAAUAAUGGAAUAGGACCUCGGUUCUAUUUUGUUGGUUUUAAGAACCCCGAGGUAAUGAUUAAUAGGAACGGAUGGGGGCAUUCGUAUUGCGACGUUAGAGGUGAAAUUCUUGGAUCGUCGCAAGACGAACAUAAGCGAAAGCAUUUGCCAAAAACGUUUUCAUUGAUCAAGAACGAAAGUUAGAGGUUCGAAGGCGAUCAGAUACCGCCCUAGUUCUAACCAUAAACGAUGCCAGCCAGCGAUCCGCCGACGUUCCUCCGAUGACUCGGCGGGCAGCUUCCGGGAAACCAAAGCUUUUGGGU